CUGGUGUCAGCCGCCGCGGUAAUACCAGCACCCCGAGUGGUCGGGACGAUUAUUGGGCCUAAAGCAUCCGUAGCCGGUCUUGCAAGUCUUCCGUUAAAUCCAGCUGCUUAACAGAUGGGCUGCGGAGGAUACUACAAGGCUAGGAGGCGGGAGAGGCAAGCGGUACUCAUUGGGUAGGGGUAAAAUCCCCUGAUCCACUGUAAACACCCCCUGGGGAAGGCGGGUUGUGCCAAACCGCUCUCCGGGGAGGGAGGAAAGCGGGGGGAGAGCAAACCAUUUUAUCCCCGGGUAGCCCCAGCUGUAGACAAUGAUGCCGAGUUGAUGAUGGGCUGUCCUUGUGCCUCCCCGGUGCCGCCGGGAAGCUGUUAAUUCUGCCGCCUGGGGAGUACGGUCGCAAGACUGAAACUUAAAAGAAUUGGCGGGCGACCACCAGAAGGGGUGAAGCCUGCGUUUCAAUUGGACUCAACGCCUGAAAUCUUACCGGGUGCGACAGCGGAGUGAAGGUCAGCUGAACACUUUACCAGACAAGCU
rnacentral:rRNA from 2 species